rnacentral:lncRNA from 1 species
CUUCUUCUCCCUCGUCAUGUGCUUUUUGCAUCCGCUGUCAAUAAUCCAGCUUGGGUUUUAGGUACCCAAUUCUUGUUGGGUCCUACAAGGUUAGUCACAUAAGACUUUGGAACCCAGAUGCAAGUUUUGUCUCUCUUGCACUUAGGCCCCAAAUUUCUAGCAACUAUUUUAUCAUUUUUACACAUAAGCACAAAUGAAGCAUCAUAAGUAUGAUAAAGCAUAUUUGGGUCAUUAGAUGCAUUUCUAGGCACAUGGGAAGCAAUAUGAUGAGCAUAGUGCCUAGAUCUAUUCGUACCAUGAGCAUAUGAAGAGCUAGAUAAUGCAAACAUGGCAUGUGAAUCAAAUACAGCAUCAUGACGAGUAUGAACAACACUAGAAGCAUUCUUAACAUGAGCAUAAAGAUAGGCAUGGUUCUUUUUGUCAUGUGAAGAAUGAGAGCUACUAGUCAUAGGAGCCUUUCCUUUCUCCUUGAUGAGAUUGGAGGCCCUUUGGCUUGUUAAGUUCUUGGUUCCCUUUUGGAAGCCAAGUCCAUCCUUAAUGGAGGGAUGUCUACCAACGGUGUAGGCAUCCCUAGCAAAUUUUAUUUUAUCAUUUUCACUCUUGCAAGUCUUAAGUUGAGCAUUAAGAUUUGCAACAUCAUUAUUCAACUUAAGAAAAGUAGAAGCAUGGGCAUUGCAAGCAUCAACAUCAAAAUCUUUACACCUAUUACAAAUAGACACAUGCUUCACAGAUGAACUAGUAAUAUUCACUUUUUCUAGCUUAGCAUUUAAAUCAGCAUUUAAACUCUUAAGGCUAGACAUGGGUUCUUUACAAGAAGAUAAUUCAGAAGAAAACAAAUUCAUUUCUCUUAACCUCUAAAGCAAGAGAUUUUUCAGCAUUAACAAGUUUAUCGUGUUCUUCAUAAAGAAUAUCUUCUUGAUUUUCUAACAAUCUAUCUUUCUCAUUAAGGGCAUCAAUUAAUUCAUUAAUUUUUAUCAACUUUGGAUCUAUCUAAACCCUUAAAGAGAUCACUAUAGUCUAUAUCAUUAUUAGAUUCCUCAUCACUAGAAGAAGUGUACUUAGGAGUAUCUCGAGUACGUACCUUAUUCUCCUUAGCCAUGAGGCAUGUGUGAUGCUCGUUGGGGAAGAGGCAGGAUUGUCGAAGGCAGAGGCAGCCAGUCCUUCAUCGUCGGAGUCAGAUGAAGAAAAGUCAGAGUCUCAUUCCUUACCAAUGUGCGCCUAGCCCUUCACCUUCCUGUAGUUUUUCUUCCUCUCCUUCCCUUUCCUUUCUUGUGCUCGGUCAUCAUUAUUAUCGAGGCAUUGUGCUAUAAAAUGACCAGUCUUACCACAUUUGAAGCAGGAGCGAUUUUCCCUUGAUUUAUUCUUGUUGGGAUAGUCCUUGCAUCCCUUCAAAGGGGUCUUGAAGCGCUUGAUCACAAGCGUCAUUUCCUCCUCGUUGAGCCCGGCAGCCUCCACUUGUCCCACCCAAUUCACUACAGGAAUCCUAAUGAUUCCUGUCGGCCAAGAUAAUUCCCGUCGGCUAGGAAAAAAGCCGACGGGGAUAACGUAACUCCCGUCGGCUACACAGCAGCCGACUUGAAUAACUUAACGCCCGUCGGCCAGAGAGUAGGCCGACGGGAGUUAACUUAACUCCCGUCAGCCAGAACAUAGGCCGACGGGGAUUACAUAACUCCCGUCGGCCAGAGCGCAGGCCGACGGGGAUUAGGCUUUUAUGAGCGCGGGUUCACCCGCGCGGGCUCAUUUCUCUGUCUUUCCUUCCUAGCCGCCGCCGCCUCCUGCCCUAUUCGCCGCCGCCUCUAACCGCCGCCGCGCCGCCGCCCCUCCCCGCCGGCGUGCCUUCCCGGCUGAGCCCGACCGUCCACGCCGCGCACCCGGCCGCCCCGGUGCCGCCCGUCCGCUCGCGGCGCCGCGCGCCCAGCCGCCACACCGCCGCCCGCCCGUCAGCGCCGCCGCGCGCCCGUCAGCGCCGCCGCGCGCCCGGCCGCCCGGCCCCGCCGUGCCCGCCCUCGCUCGUCUCCGUCGUGCCCCACACCGCCCACAUCGCCGCCGGGCCUCCCAUCGCGCUCACAAACGCCGCCGCCGCCGCCGCCACCUCUCGGAGCGUCGUCGCUGCCUCCUCGAGCGCCGCCGCCGCACCCAAGCGCCGCCUCCGCCCCCGACCGCAUCUCCGAACCAACUACGACACCCACGUGAGUUAAUUAUGUGUGUACAUGUUAAUGCAUUGGAUUGUGAAUGUUAAUUAUGUGUGUACAUGUUUAUUUUCGUCGGUUUUUUAUGGCCGACGGGAGUUAACUUUUAUGUGAUUAGUAUUAAUUUAAUAACACAUGUGAUUAGAGUGUGAUUAUAGUUAAUUUAAUAUCACAUGUGUGGCUUCAUGUUAGGUAACUGUUAAUUGUAUUCUUAUAGUAGAUUUAACUUAUACUAUUGAAUUGUUAAAUUUAAUGUUAUUUAUUGAUUAGAUUUAACUUAUAAUAUUAGGAUGUAUGAAGGUUUCGAUAUUGAUUAAUUUGAUGUUAUUUAUGUGUAUAUAUAAUUAUUUAUGUAUAUAUAUAGUUUUACUACUUACCUAUAGAUGUAUAUAUGUAUGUAUAUAUAUGUGUGACGUGUAGAAACGUGAUUGUCUCACACACACUCUUUACUCGUACACAGCCGCAAUAAUGGGUGAUAGACAUGAUUGGAUGUAUGAAGGUUUCAAGAAGGGUGGGUGUCACACUAGUGAAUGGUUUGCCAAGACGCAAAUAUUUCUGGACCAUGCGGCUGCUUUGUCACAAAUAGAUAAUAUUAGGUGUCCAUAUGCAAUAAAUGUAGAAAUAUGACGAGCCACACCAAGAGGCAGGGCUCGGGACCAGUGGGGCCAACAGGGCGAACCGGCUGACAACCUGAUGGAUGAUGGCUCGGGAGGCUCUUCAGCGACACGCACACGUCGCUCAAGAAAAAGCCACUCAGUAAAGCCUCGUCACGCGAUAGAGCGAGAGGCUGAUAGGACUUUAAUCAUGCCACAUGGAGAUCGGUGAGUGUAAUAUAUUAACUUAUCUCAUAUAACUAUUAUGUGUAUUGUUAAUGUUUUUGUGUAAUGCAGGAAUUGGGAGGACCUGUCCUUUGACGGCAAGGGACACCACACUCAGGUUAACCUUACGUUGGGUUCUCUUUGCCGCCUUCACUACCCUGGUAUAGUGAAGGUGUCAAACGGUGAUACCGAGGAUGAGGUGCUCGUCAGUACCUGGGACGAGUACAAGUUUAAAAAGGAACGAAACCACACUGACAGACAGGGACUUGUGCGUAAUGACUUUUGGGUAUGAAUUCUUUAUUAUUUUUGUUAUGUUUCUUAAUAUUGUAAAUCUAUGACUUAUACCAUUGUAUUUGUAUUCUUUAUGUUGUAGCUUCGAUAUCGGUUGCCUGACGGAGAGGAUUACAUGGGGCACGCUGAACGUGUCUUCCAAAACAAUGCAAAGAAGCUGGUGAAGGAUGCCAUAUACUAUGCGAGAAUUCAGGCUACAAACCUGUAUUUUCAAAAGCAUCCGGAAGAAGCAGGCCCCUUGAAUAAAAAGGAAGGGUCCUCAAAGAUAUAUUUGUUUUACCCUUUAUAUUUAUUGUUGUGAUUGAUAAUAUGUAACAUUGUGUGUGUGCAGGUGAUGGUUCCAUGGAUGGCGCCCGUGCCUGAUGCGUACUAUGCUUGGUGUCGAUAUUGGGCUUCCGAAGGCUUCCAGAAAGCGUCAGCGCAUCACAGACAAUGUCGAGGAACCAAUCCUAACCACAAGUUUGGCGGUGACGACAUGAUACGAAAAGCUAAAAGAAUGGUAAGUUUGAUCUAUCUAUGUCAAUCAGCAAAUAAUACGAUUGCUUAUGAAUGUUUUUUGUUUAUACAGGAAGCUACGAGUGGCCAAAAGCCUAGUGACAUUGAGGUCUACUAGGAGGGCCACAAAGGACCAGACCCGAACAACCCUGACCAGCUCUACAUCCAGACAGCCACGAAUCGCUUGGUGAGUUUUGGCUCAAAAGUUCAAACGUUCAAAGUAUAUAAAUUCCAGCAUUUGUAAGGUUGUGAAUGAUGUAUAGGUGGCAUAUGGGGAGGAGAUGGUUCGUCGCCAUGGCCCUGACUUCGACUAGCGCCAUGAACCGGUGGAUCCCUCAGUGGUGUACGCAAGUGGUGGUGGCAAAGCGCAUGGACGGUAAGCUCUAACUUAUGAAAUUAUAUGGUUGACACUAAAUUGAUUAUACAGUAAUCACAUUUUUUGAAUAACUUAUAGAUACGCACUCUUCGACGGAUUCAUUGACUCGUCGUCGGUGAGAUCUCAGAGGACGGGUUCAUCUUCCCGUAGCUCAUGCUCUCGUCGACCGAACGAGCAGGAGUUGGAGAUUAUGAGGAUGCGGGAAGAGAUGAGACAACAACGCGAAUUUAUGGAGGCUUGCAAUGCACAUAACCAAGCGAUGUAUCAAGUGAGUACACAUAAUCCGAACUCUAAAUUAUUAUAUUUCAAUACAACAUCUUCGGUAGUAACACAUAUGUGUUUAACAGUUAAUGCAUCAACAGGGCAUGACAUCAAAUUUUCCACCGCCACCACAAUGGAGCCAAUUUGCAAACACACCAGUUCCACCACCACAGUUCACCACCCCUCCGACACAUAUACCUGCACCUGGAGAUAGGGUACGUUUGAUAACUCUCCAUUAAUUUAUAUACUUGUAUACUUUUUUGAUAUUUGCAUUUAACGUGAUGAUAUUUGCUAACUUGCAUAGGUUACGCCCGAAGCGGGUGGUAGUGGGUCUGAUCCCGCAGCAGGGACUGGAUUUGUUGACUCGCUCUUCGCGUUCCCUCCUCCUGGUGGUGGUGGCGGCAGCGUUCAAAGCUCUAACCACCCAAGUGGUGGUUAUCUCUAAACACUUGAACAUGUUUCUUAACUUGUGGACUCUUGGUCGUACUUGAACAUAUGUCGUACUUAUAUUUCAAUACUAUGUCGUACUCGUUGACUCGAUGUGGUGGUUGAACUUAUAUUUGAAAUGUUGGUGGAUGUUAUGUUUGUAAUGCGUGAUUUUAUGAUGAAUGCAUGUGUUUGUAAUGUGGCUGUUAUCUGUGAUUUAUGUUAUGUGUGAUAUAUGUUAUGUGUGCAGAAAUAGUGUCCUAAUUUAGUGCUGUUUUUGUAGCAGUAUAGGGUAAUUCUCGUCAGCCUAGUUAAUUCCCGUCGGCUAUGGUCGAACCGACGGGAAUUAACUAAUAACUCUCGUCGGCCCAGUUAAUUCCCGUCGGCCUGAGGAACCGACGGGAAUUAACUAAUAACUCCCGCCGGCCUAGGGAACCGACGGGAAUUAACUAAUAACUCCCGUCGGCCUGGGGAACUGACGGGAGUAAGCAUUAAUUCCCGUCGGCUAGUUAGUGGCCGACAGGAAUUAAUAAUUCCCGUCAGCCGCCGACGGGGAUAAAUUUAUCCCCGACAAGGGACGCCUGGCGGCUGAAAACCGACGGGAAUAAGCCCUAAACCGAUGGGAAUUAAGUAAUUCCCGUCGGUUUAUGCUUAUUCCCGUCGGUUUCCGGUCGACGGGAAUUAAGUGAAUUCCUAUAGUGAUUAGGUAGCGCCUCCUUGCUGCUUGUUGCCUUGAGGGCAACAGGCUGCGGCUUGUAGAGUGGGAGUGGUCCAUUGGCGAUGUCAUCAAUGUACCUAGCCUCCUUUAUCAUCAUGCACCCCCUUAUGAAUUUUUCAAGGAUUUCCUCGAGCGUCAUUUUUGUGUACCUAGGAUUCUCACGAAUAAGAUUUACAAGAUGAUGAUCAAUAACGGUAAAUGACCUUAACAUGAGUCGAACGACGUCAUGGUCCGUCCAUCUUGUACUUCCAUAACUCCGGAUUUUAUUCACCAGUGACUUGAGCCUGUUGUAUGUUUCGGUUGGCUCUUCUCCUCUUUUCAUGCCGAAUCUCCCAAUCUCACCUUCCACCAAUUCUUUUUUGAUGAUCAUAGUGACAUCGUUUCCUUCAUGAGAAAUCUUGAGGGUGUCCCAAAUUUGUUUGGCGUUGCAAGGCGCUAACUUUGUUAUAUUCAUCCCUACAUGGAGAUUGUGACGGAACCUCCCAAGUAAUUAGGCCCACCUACAGUUGUCCUUGUCUAACAGACAUCAGACACCCUGUAGAUGUUCCUAAGUCACUUGACAAGUUCGGUAUCUUUCCUUACCUUACCAGGAACGUUUCACCCGUCUUGCAGACAUUACAGAACAUCGGAGAUAAAGAAAUGCGGAAGCGAUCACAUAAAUUACAUUUAUUUUAAAAGCAAGCUUAAGUUAUUUUAUUACAGACCAGAACUAAAAAAAGGCGAGUGCUGAGUAGUAAUAUUAUACAAACCAAGGGAGGCACAGACUCCUCCCGAUAAGUUAUAAGCAAAAGAUCCUAUGUGGAGGACCGAGUCCUCCCGCACUUCAGUCUUGUUUUUCUUCUUUAGGAACCACCUUGGCACAGAAGCAGCAGAAAUCUGCUACUUCCUCACCUAAAAACAACGAAGGGAUAAACCCUGAGUAUGGAAUUACUCAGCAAGUCUUACCCGACUAAAGAAAAGACUCUCAAGGGUAUGCUGGUUAUAUGGGAGUCAAGGUAAGGCUUUUCAAUAAUCAAAGACUCUGUUUUGCAGAAAUGCUUACUAAAGUGGAUCCUUAAAAAUCCAAUUUUAUUUGUCAAGUUAAGUACAAUUACCUGCAACUAGAGUUCUUUCUACCCUAGUUCAAUCACUGGUCCUGCACUAGCCAAUUUCUUAACAAAAGCCCAUCAUCUUUAGUAGAAUGCUACGUGUAGGGCAGUGACCAAGUCUUCAUAACCGCGAAGGUACGGCGAUCCAAAUCGAUUAUACUCAGCUGAGGAUCUCCAAUCACACGACAUAUGUAGCACUUAACCCUUUUAUAUGUCAACCCGCCACCGGGGUUCUUAAGACCAGAUCAGGUUCACGCAAACCGAGAGCAUAGAUACACCACCGUCCAGCCUCUUGCCACGGAGGGUACACGCUACUCUCGCCACCGCUCCACGCCCAUUUCGUGUUAUCUUAUUCUGGCCUUAGUCUGCCUGAGGCAAGGCUUACCCAUGACGAGGCAUGUGACCAGUUAAAGGGUCCUCGAUCAUCAAGCCUACAUCGACAAGGUCCUUAAUCGACUCAGAUGGAGACACUACACCGAGACUCUCUUCUCGUGCAAGUCACCCGCCCGGUCUCAGCUUAAUAUUUUAACCCAAAAACUUGGUACCUGGCAGAGGUACAUCUUUUCCGAUGUUGAAUCCAUCAUGGCCAUGAUGGAUUCACCAUCAAGUUUUAUUUUCGAAAACAACCCUCCCACUUUGCCAAACAUCUUUUGUAAAACAAAUCCUUUUGUUUUUCUAAAGCAAUACUAAGCAUAGUAAAACCUUUUUGUAAAAACAGGGUUUCAAGGAGGGUAAUCAAGAUCAAGGAAGGUAAUGCAAGAAUUGUUUUAUCAAGCAACUCCUAUCACCUAAUGCAGCAAUCAAGUGAGAAAGAUUUUAAAAACAUCAAGGAAGGUGGCAAAUGCACCGGGGCUUGCCUUCGUUUACAGGUGAGUCGGGUUCGGAUCCACAAAUAUCGAAGUAGAAGCAGUUGCCUGCUUGAGAAUCCGAAGGUGGUGGUGUCCUUUCCUCGGUGACUUCUAUUUCUUCUUCACGUUCUAAUCAUAACCAUAUAUAUACAUAUAUAAGAAUGAAUGCCAUGUAAUGUGCAUGAGAGUGCAAAGAUAAUAAAGAUUUAUUAUCUAAGUCUUGAAUACAACUUUCCUUCACGGAACUCCGAGAACUUAGGGUUUCCGGAGUCGGUAAAGGAGUUCAUAGGGCAGGGGGGGUGUUUUGGGGUUUGGUGAUCAAACAAGGUCCAAAUCAACCCAAACUCUACCCAAGGCUUCUAAAUAUUGCUUUAAGUUCCCAUAAAAAGUUUGGGCAUUUUUGGACUUUCCAAUUAUUUUCUAAAAAUACAUAACCAAUAUUUUUAACUACUUUAACUGCCCUAAAAUUUCUUAUUUCUACUAAAAAUCACAAAACUAUUUUUAUUAAAUUCUAGGGAAAAUAACAAGCCUAGGAAAAUUGGUUUCACAAUUUUAUCAUUUUUCUACUGUUUUCUAUAAUUGUUUUGGCUCUAGAGAUAAAAGAAAAAGAAAACAAAUGAAUAGUAUUGGACCGAAUCCAGCCUAGGACGGCCCACGACCAGAAGAAAUGCGCGCGCCCGCGCCCGCUGUGGAGUUUUUGCAACAGGGCCCUUGGGGUUUUAACUAAUUGGAGAUGGGUUUGAUUACUAUUUUACUGUGUCGCUGACAAUUUGCAGAUAAGCCCUUCAUGUUCUAUUUCUUCGCAGAGGGAGGUCCACGACAACGGCCGCGUGGAGGAUGAACUCCGGUGAGGUUGUGCCAGCGGAUUUAAGCAAUGGCCAGUGCUCCCGAGCGGUGUACACCGGAUUAAACCCUUCCCGAACGAUUCCCCUAACUUAAUUUCACGAUUGGUAAGCUAUCACGCCUUGUCCACGUGAACCGCGAAUGAUGAGGACAAUGGUACGUGUUCCCGGUGAUCCCUAGUGGUCCGGUUCAAUUAAAGGGUUCGAGGGGUUUGCGGGGUACCUAAGGAGGCUAGAACAAGUGGCAGAGGGACUUGAGCUCACCUGAAUUGAGCUGGCCACGGUGAGGUCUUCUUUGCGGUGGCGGAAUCCGAAUUGGGGGAAGUGAGCGAUUCUCUGGCUAUGGGGGCUAAUCGGAGACGGGAGUGGUGGCUAUGGCUUCGGUAUGACCUAGCGCAGCUGGCCGGGGGCUCAAUUUAUAGGCGGAGCAAGCGGUGGCACUUGAAUUGAUGAUGGCGCGGUGGCGGCCGGAGAGGAGGAAGAACCUUGGCGCGCGUGGUUACGUGUCCUAUGGCGUGGCAGUAACUCCGGUGAUCGAUAGACAGUUAGAGGGGGUCACGGUGAUGCGGUGGCGCGGUUAAGACGCGCGGCACACGGUCGGACGGCGGCGGUUCACCGGUGAGCCUAUCGCUCCAGUCGCAAAGCAGAGGGGAAGGCAGGGGAGGCCGUCGGAGUGGUGUCCAGCUCACCGGCGGUGAGGAUCUUUACCGAGCUAUGUUUAUCCGAUGGCCACGACGCACGGAUCACGGCGAGCGGUGAUCAAUGGUGAUGGACCACCGGCGACGAGCAGAGGGAUAGGAUCUUCUUCAGUUACCCUUUACUGUACCAUGGGACAUUCAGUUUAUGACGCCUGACAGUCAUAGUUUAGGCUCGAUUUUCUCACAAAUUUUCAUGGCAACAUACCUAAUGAUCUGUAGCAAAGUUAUAGAUCUACAAUCCAUCUAUAACUUUACUACAAUGUGCUCCCACAAAAAGUCACUGGAUCUUGCUUAAAAUCAAGCCCUAAGUUCAUGUCAUCCUACUGUUAAUCUGAAUUUCAGACAUCAAGCAGUCUAACAGUCCAACUUCAGGCCCAAUUAUCUCCCAACUUUUCACAAGAACAUGGCUUGCACUCUCAAGCAAACUUGUUGUCCUAUAAUUGGGCUAUAAUUUUGGUGUGGUGACCUAGGGCACAAACCCCAUAAUUUGAAAGUUACAAGGGCUUCAAGUUGAGGCAAUCACACUGAAAUGCAGACUUAACAAAAAAGGGUUAAGUAUGGCUCUUUUGCACUUAAGUCCAAAUCUCAAGUUUUGGAUUGCAAAUUCACAUAUGAUUGACCCAAAUGCCCUAAUAUACUUAUUUAACUUGGUUUUUCACUUUAACCCAAAAGUGGACUAAUUUUGCACAUAGGCCCCUAGGGUUUAGUUCCAGGGUUUCAAUUAGGGUUUCUGGUAUCCCAGGGGUAUAAAUGUGACUCCACUUGGUUUUUGGGGAUAUUUUAUGACUCUUUCCCUAAAACCCUUAGGUUUUCUCAUCUUAGAUUAAGUUUUACCCCUUUAACCUCUAUUUAGGGUUAAGUUCCUUAACCAGGGUUCCAUUUGCAAAAACAUUAAAACAAUACAACUUGUUUGAAAUUUUUGCCUAGUGAAUGCACUCUAGGUGUGUCAAACAUAUGCAAUGCCAAUGCUAUGAUGUCAUGCUCAAGUUUUUGUUAUAGUAACACCAGGGGUGUUACAUCCUUCCCCCCAUAAAAGAAUCUCGUCCCGAGAUUAAAAGUCCUAGGGUAAGUAAUGGAAAAGGAAACGUGGAAUACUUUUAUUUCCUUAUUUUUGGUACAAGGCAGGGGUGAUGUGGGGGUUUCAUUCCUUUAUUGCAAUAACUAUAUACACUUUACAAAUUACAUGAGGCUAGAAAGCCUGGGAAAUUCUUAUUCAAGAAGUCUUGAGUUUUCCAAGUAGCUUCAUCUUCAGAAUGUUGGUUCCACUGUAUCUUAUAAAACUUGAGAGUUUUUCUCCGGGUAACCCUGUCCUUUUGAUCCAAGACUCGAAUAGGGUGCUCAGAGUAUGUCAAGUCCGGUUCAAGGACAACAUCCGUUACUUCAAUGGUUCGAUCGGGAACCCGAAGACACUUCUUCAAUUGUGACACAUGGAACACAUUAUGCACAGCAGACAAGGUUUCGGGUAGUUGGAGUCGGUAUGCCACUGGUCCACAUUGCUCAAGUACCAGGAAUGGACCAAUGUACCUGGGUGCAAGCUUCCCUUUAACCCCAAAACGCGAUACUCCUUUCAUUGGUGAGACUUUCAGGUAAACAUAGUCUCCUUCCAGGAAAUAUAAGGGCAUUCACCGUGUGUCUGCAUAACUCUUCUGACGAGCUUGUGCCUUCUUCAUAUUAUAAAUAAUUUUCUGAACCUUAUCCUCGGCCUCUUUCACCAUAUCAGGCCUAAAGAAGCACCUUUCACUAGGUUCGGACCAAUUUAGCGGAGUACAACAUCGACGUCCAUAUAAAGCUUCAAAGGGUGCCAUCUUGAUACUUUCUUGAUAGCUAUUAUUAUAUGAAAACUCCGCCAAAGGCAAACAUUCAUCCCAUUUCUGUGAGAAGUCCAGAACACAUGCCCGCAGCAUAUCUUCAAGUAUUUGGUUCACUCUCUCAGUCUGUCCACUGGUUUGAGGAUGAUAGGCCGAACUGUGGAGUAACUUAGUACCUAGGGAUUUAUGAAGUUCUUCCCAGAAUUUGGAUACAAAUUGUGGUCCACGAUCCGACACUAUAGUCUUUGGAACACCAUGCAAACUGAGAAUACGGGCGAUGUACAACUCCGCAUAGGUAAUGACGGGAUAUUUUACUUUGACAGGGAGGAAGUGGGCAAUCUUGGUAAGUCGAUCAAUGAUAACCCAAAUAGAGUCAUAUCCUUUUGCGGUCCUGGGCAAUCCCACAAUAAAGUCCAUACUGAUGUCUUCCCAUUUCCAUGUUGGUAUUGGUAGCGACUGUAAUGGACCAGCAGUUUUCAUGUGUAUGGCCUUGACACGUCUGCAAAUGUCACACUUAGCCACAUAGCGUGCAAUUUCGAUCUUCAUCUUUGUCCACCAGUAAUGUUGCUUUAAGUCUUGGUACAUCUUAGUGCUUCCGGGAUGAAUAGAAUAACGACUAAGAUGUGCUUCAUCAAGAAUUUGCUGGUGGAGUUCUUCGUUCUUCGGCACUACUAUGCGGUUUUUAAACCAUAUCACACCUUGAUUGUCUUCCUUGAAACAUUUGGCUACUCCAGCCCUUAACUUCUCUCGUAUGUGCUUCAUACCCAGAUUAUCUUUUUGAGCAUCAAUUAUCCUUUGCAAAAUGAUUGACUCAAGCUUUAGCUGAUUUAGAGUCCCUUGUUGGAUUAUUCCCAGGUUUAGCUUCUCCAUUUCUUGACAUAAAGUGUUCUCGGAGGUCUUCACCAUAAGACAGUGGCAGGAAGCCUUACGGCUCAGUGCAUCUGCCACCACAUUGGCUUUGCCUGGGUGAUAAUGGAUCUCCAGUUCAUAGUCUUUAAUAAGCUCAAGCCAUCGUCUUUGCCUCAUAUUUAAUUCUGACUGGGUGAAAAUAUACUUCAAACUUUUAUGAUCUGUAUAUAUGUGACAGAUAUUUCCCAGCAGAUAGUGACGCCAAAUUUUUAGGGCAUGAACCACAGCAGCUAGCUCCAGAUCAUGAGUUGGGUAAUGCUCCUCAUGUCGGCGCAACUGCCUUGAAGCAUACGCAAUUACUCGGCCCUCUUGCAUUAGUACACAGUCGAGUCCAUUGCCUGACGCAUCACAAUAUACAUCAAAAGGCUUAGUGAUGUCCGGUUGAGCUAAUACCGGAGCAGUGGUUAAUAAUGUCUUCAAUUGCUCAAAGGCUUCAUUACACUUAGAAGACCAAUUGAACUUAAUGUCAUUCUUCAAUAAACUUGUGAUUGGCUUCACAAGCUUAGAAAAAUCUGGUAUGAAUCUGCGAUAAUAUCCAGCUAGUCCAAGAAAACUCCGGACUUGGUGAACAGUGGUUGGGGGUUUCCACUCCAGAAUAUCUUUGACCUUGCUAGGAUCUACCACAAUUCCUUUAGCCGAUAACACGUGCCCCAGAAAUUGAAUUUCCUCCAGCCAGAACGCGCACUUGCUGAACUUGGCAUACAGCUGAUGUUCCCUCAGGCGCGUCAAUACAAUCCGUAGAUGCUGAGCAUGGUUCUCUUCAUUUUUAGAAUAUAUCAAGAUAUCGUCGAUGAAGACCACCACGAACUUGUCCAACUCGGGCAUGAACACCGAGUUCAUCAAAUAGGUGAAGUGGGCAGGAGCAUUUGUGAGCUCGAAAGACAUUACCAGGUAUUCAAACAAUCCGUACCGCGUAGUAAACGCGGUCUUCGGUAUAUCCUCAGGCCGAAUACGGAUUUGGUGAUAGCCCGACCUGAGAUCAAUUUUGGAAAAUACCCUCGCCCCAGUCAGUUGAUCAAAUAAGAUGUCGAUCCUUGGAAGAGGGUACUUAUUCUUGAUGGUGACCUCAUUCAGGGGUCGAUAAUCCACGCACAUUCGCAAGGUUUGAUCCUUCUUCUUAACAAAAAUGGCGGGGCAACCCCAUGGGGACGAGCUUGGCCGGAUGAAUCCCUUAUUCAGUAGAUCUUGUAAUUGAAUCUUCAAUUCCGCCAACUCAUUAGGGGGCAUACGGUACGAUCUUCAGGAGAUGGGAGCCGUACCGGGCUUUAGCUCAAUUAUGAAUUCUACAUCUCUUUCAGGGGGCAGUCCAGGCAAAUCUUCUGGAAAUACAUCUGGAAACUCACAUACUACCGGAAUGUUCUUGAUCUCCAGUACAAUGGCUUCAUAUACUCUACCAGAAGCUUUGGCUAGAUUAGUUACGGGGAGAGACAAAAGAAUCUCUUCUUGAUUAUAGCUCAACCUGACGGUUCUGAGUUCAGUGUUGAGAAUUGCCUUGUGUUGGGUUAACCAAUUCAUACCCAAAAUCACAUCUAUAUCCUGGCCUUUCAGAACAAUCAUGUUAGCAGGAAAGUUCCGUCCGGCCAUUGUUACUGGCACUUCAUAGGCCACUUCUCUAGUAAAAAUGUGUCCCCUAGGUGAAUGAAUUUUAAAUCCCUCUUUUGAUUCAUGGCAUGUAAUAUGAUGUUGCUCCACAAAUUUCUUGCUAAUGAACGUAUGUGAAGCACUAGAAUCAAAAAGAAUAAUUGCAGGGUGACUGGCCACGGAAAACGUACCCAUCAUCACCGGCUCUCCUUCCGGUGUAGUGGCCACUUGAGUGUAAUAUACACGCCCCGUCUUCUUUGUAUUUUUCCCCACAGCAUUUCCUUUGGGCUGAGCUGAUCUCCCAGAUCCUUGCGGAGCAUUUGAUUGAUUUUGCUUAGGAUAUGGGCAGUCUUUGAUGAAAUGUCCCGACUUGCCGCAAUUAAAACACCCAGUUGAAGAACUAGGCAAGGCAGGGAAUCGAGUGCCUGGGGCACCCGGCUGAUUUGGAGUAGUGGGGGUAUUGUUGGGGCGAAUAAUGAUUGGCUGUUUGAAAGGGAAUGAGGGUGGACGAGAAAAAGUGCGAUUUUGGUUUGAAGGCCGGAUCACAAACCGUUGCUUCUUCGCCUGGCCCUGAUUAGGCCUCUCACCACCGAAUCCCUUGUUUUUCCCAGAACUUGCGUACUUUGCUUCAACAGAUAAGGCUGUGCUGACAGCCUUUCCAUACGUGAGAUCUAUGCAUGUGGCCAUUUUCCUCUGUAGCCGAUCAUUUAGUCCUCUCAUAAAACAGUUCUUUUUCUUUAAAUCAGUAUUCACCUGGUCGAUGGCAUACUGUGACAGGUGAUUAAACUUGUUGAGAUACUGAUUGACAGUAUCUCCCCCUUGUUUUAACUUCAUGAAUUCUUCUUGUUUCAUAUGCAGCACUCCUUCGGGUAUGUAGUGCUCACGGAAGGCUGCUUUAAACUCUUCCAGGUGACUUGAUGGUUGACAGGUUGAAUAGCCACAAAAUUUCCCCACCAGGUACUGGCAGGACCACGUAGUUGUUGUGCUGCGAAUAACGACUUUUGCGUUUCUGAACAGCGGAGAAGACCAAACUUUUGUUCAAUAACCCGUAUCCACUCAUCGGCUUCUAGUGGAUCUUCAGCUUUGACGAAUAGGGGUGGACGGGUUUCAGAGAAGUCCAGAUAGGUGGUUUCACGGGGGCCUUGCUGAUAACCCCUUCCUGCUUGCUGCUGGAAUUGCUGCUGACUCGCCAUUUCCUUAAGGAAGCGGGUAUUGUCUGCGGUGGCAUUCACCAAGGUGGCAAUCGCCUCGGCUAAUGUGGGAGGAACCGGAGGUGGGUUUGGGGUAACAUCCCUUCCGCCAGAAGUUCCUGCUGCGUCCUGUCCUCGAGUCCUGGUCGGCAUCUGUGGUAAGAACAUUUGAAGUAAACAUAAUGUGCCAGAGAAACCUUCCAUUUUACAUUACUAUAAAAAGUAAUGAUACAGACUCGAUAUUACAUAACAGGAUACAUUACCCAUUAUACAAAAGUUCAACAUAUUAUACAACAGUACAACCUACAAUACACUACUCCACUUCUAUUACACCAUUAGUCCUGCUUCCCAUUACUCUUGGCGGCCUCAUCGUCAGGUGUGGGAGUCCAGACAUCAACCAACCUCAAGGAAGGAGGGGGCUCAAAAAGGUCUAACUCCCCACCCAGCGCGCAUCCCGCAACAUGAGAUGGUCCGGCUUCCGCCUCAGCAGGGUGUGCAGGCACACUAGGGUGUAAUUGUGAGUAUAGUACAUGGACUUCCUCAUGCAACGUAUUGCAGUAGACCUGCAGGUUGUCGACAGUUGAGCUAAGUUCUUUAAUUCGGGCCUGAGCCCUUGCUUCCUUAGCACAUGCCAGCAAACGAGACUGUACUGCCCAGUCAAGUGCUAAGUCCCGAUCAGCAAGCUGAUCCUGCAGGUGACGGAUGUCCCUUCUUAGUUCAUUGAUUCUAUCUCCGUCUGCGACCCAAGCAUCGGUCCUGUGUUGCAGCGCUGCUUGAAGUCGACUCACUCGGGCUUCAUGAUCUCCUAUGGGGUCAUUACUUCCACUGCUGCUGCUUUCAUGUCGAGGGGCUAGUUGAUGCCGGGGUACUCCAAUUGGUCCCGUUGACUUGCGUGUCGUUAGCCUUGUGCGUGGCGGCAUGUUUCUAAGGGGGGAAAUGUUAUUAGUAUAAUUCUUAGCAUGAUGCAUGUGUAAGUACAGAAUCAACCUUAGUCGAUUCAACCUUCUAUACAUUGCACUCUUCCUAUCUGGUCUUUAAGAUAGACUCUUCAGAAUACUUAGGUAAGAAGAGAAAAGAGUUUUUAGGUAAGACUUUUGAAAAUCCUUUUGAAGAUGCCUCAUAAUAUCUGCAAAGAAGGGCUACGCUCCGAUACCAGCUGUGACGGAACCUCCCAAGUAAUUAGGCCCACCUACAGUUGUCCUUGUCUAACAGACAUCAGACACCCUGUAGAUGUUCCUAAGUCACUUGACAAGUUCGGUAUCUUUCCUUACCUUACCAGGAACGUUUCACCUGUCUUGCAGACAUUACAGAACAUCGGAGAUAAAGAGAUGCGGAAGCGAUCACAUAAAUUACAUUUAUUUUAAAAGCAAGCUUAAGUUAUUUUAUUACAGACCAGAACUAAAAAAAGGCGAGUGCUGAGUAGUAAUAUUAUACAAACCAAGGGAGGCACAGACUCCUCCCGUUAAGUUAUAAGCAAAAGAUCCUAUGUGGAGGACCGAGUCCUCCCGCACUUCAGUCUUGUUUUUCUUCUUUAGGAACCACCUUGGCACAGAAGCAGCAGAAAUCUGCUACUUCCUCACCUAAAACAACGAAGGGAUAAACCCUGAGUAUGGAAUUACUCAGCAAGUCUUACUCGACUAAAGAAAAGACUCUCAAGGGUAUGCUUGUUAUAUGGGAGUCAAGGUAAGGCUUUUCAAUAAUCAAAGACUCUAUUUUGCAGAAAUGCUUACUAAAGUGGAUCCUUAAAAAUCCAAUUUUAUUUGUCAAGUUAAGUACAAUUACCUGCAACUAGAGUUCUUUCUACCCUAGUUCAAUCACUGGUCCUGCACUAGCCAAUUUCUUAACAAAAGCCCAUCAUCUUUAGUAGAAUGCUACGUGUAGGGCAGUGACCAAGUCUUCAUAACCGCGAAGGUACGGCGAUCCGAAUCGAUUAUACUCAGCUGAGGAUCUCCAAUCACACGACAUAUGUAGCACUUAACCCUUGCAUAUGUCAACCCGCCACCGGGGUUCUUAAGACCAGAUCAGGUUCACGCAAACCGAGAGCACAGAUACACCACCGUCCAGCCUCUUGCCACGGAGGGUACACGCUACUCUCGCCACCGCUCCACGCCCAUUUCAUGUUAUCUUAUUCUGGCCUUAGUCUGCCCGAGGCAAGGCUUACCCAUGACGAGGCAUGUGACCAGUUAAAGGGUCCUCGAUCAUCAAGCCUACAUCGACAAGGUCCUUAAUCGACUCAGACGGAGACACUACACCGAGACUCUCUUCUCGUGCAAGUCACCCGCCCGGUCUCAGCUUAAUCUUUUAACCCAAAAACUUGGUACCUGGCAGAGGUACAUCUUUUCCGAUGUUGAAUCCAUCAUGGCCAUGAUGGAUUCACCAUCAAGUUUUAUUUUCGAAAACAACCCUCCCACUUUGCCAAACAUCUUUUGUAAAACAAAUGCUUUUGUUUUUCUAAAGCAAUACUAAGCAUAGUAAAACCUUUUUGUAAAAACAGGGUUUCAAGGAGGGUAAUCAAGAUCAAGGAAGGUAAUGCAAGAAUUGUUUUAUCAAGCAACUCCUAUCACCUAAUGCAGCAAUCAAGUGAGAAAGAUUUUAAAAACAUCAAGGAAGGUGGCAAAUGCACCGGGGCUUGCCUUCGUUUACAGGUGAGUCGGGUUCGGAUCCACAAAUAUCGAAGUAGAAGCAGUUGUCUACUUGAGAAUCCGAAGGUGGUGGUGUCCUUUCCUCGGUGACUUCUAUUUCUUCUUCACGUUCUAAUCAUAACCAUAUAUAUACAUAUAUAAGAAUGAAUGCCAUGUAAUGUGCAUGAGAGUGCGAAGAUAAUAAAGAUUUAUUAUCUAAGUCUUGAAUACAACUUUCCUUCACGGAACUCCGAGAACUUAGGGUUUCCGGAGUCGGUAAAGGAGUUCAUAGGGCAGGGGGGGUGUUUUGGGGUUUGGUGAUCAAACAAGGUCCAAAUCAACCCAAACUCUAUCCAAGGCUUCUAAAUAUUGUUUUAAGUUCCCAUAAAAAGUUUGGGCAUUUUUGGACUUUCCAAUUAUUUUCUAAAAUUCCAUAACCAAUAUUUUUAACUACUUUAAAUGCCCUAAAAUUUCUUAUUUCUACUAAAAAUCACAAAACUAUUUUUAUUAAAUUCUAGGGAAAAUAUCAAGCCUCGGAAAAUUGGUUUCACAAUUUUAUCAUUUUUCUACUGUUUUCUAUAAUUGUUUUGGCUCUGGAGAUAAAAGAAAAAGAAAAAUAGAUGAAUAGUAUUGGACCGAAUCCAGCCUAGGACGGCCCACGACCAGAAGAAAUGCGUGCGCCCGCGCCCGCUGUGGAGUUUUUGCAACAGGGCCCUUGGGGUUUUAACUAAUUGGAGAUGGGUUUGAUUACUGUUUUACUGUGUCGCUGACAAUUUGCAGAUAAGCCCUUCAUGUUCUAUUUCUUCGCAGAGGGAGGUCCACGACAACGGCCGCGUGGAGGAUGAACUCCGGUGAGGUUGUGCCGGCGGAUUUAAGCAACGGCCAGUGCUCCCGAGCGGUGUACACCGGAUUAAACCCUUCCCGAACGAUUCCCCUAACUUAAUUUCACGAUUGGUAAGCUAUCACGCCCUGUCCACGUGAACCGCGAAUGAUGAGGACAAUGGUACGUGUUCCCGGUGAUCCCUGGCGGUCCGGUUCAAUUAAAGGGUUCGAGGGGUUUGCGGGGUACCUAAGGAGGCUAGAACAAGUGGCAGAGGGACUUGAGCUCACCUGAAUUGAGCUGGCCACGGUGAGGUCUUCUUUGCGGUGGCGGAAACCGAAUUGGGGGAAGUGAGCGAUUCUCUGGCUAUGGGGGCUAAUCGGAGACGGGAGUGGUGGCUAUGGCUUCGGUAUGACCUAGCGCAGCUGGCCGGGGGCUCAAUUUAUAGGCGGAGCGAGCGGUGGCACUUGAAUUGAUGAUGGCGCGGUGGCGGCCGGAGAGGAGGAAGAACCUUGGCGCGCGUGGUUACGUGUCCUAUGGUGUGGCAGUAACUCCGGUGAUCGAUAGACAGUUAGAGGGGGUCACGGUGAUGCGGUGGCGCGGUUAAGACACGCGGCACACGGUCGGACGGCGGCGGUUCACCGGCGAGCCUAUCGCUCUAGUCGCAAAGCAGAGGGGAAGGCAGGGGAGGCCGUCGGAGUGGUGUCCAGCUCACCGGCGGUGAGGAUCUUUACCGAGCUAUGUUUAUCCGAUGGCCACGACGCACGGAUCACGGCGAGCGGUGAUCAACGGUGAUGGACCACCGGCGACGAGCAGAGGGAUAGGAUCUUCUUCAGUUACCCUUUAUUGUACCAUGGGACAUUCAGUUUAUGACGCCUGACAGUCAUAGUUUAGGCUCGAUUUUCUCACAAAUUUUCAUGGCAACAUACCCAAUGAUCUGUAGCAAAGUUGUAGAUCUACAAUCCAUCUAUAACUUUACUACAAUGUGCUCCCACAAAAAGUCACUGGAUCUUGCUUAAAAUCAAGCCCUAAGUUCAUGUCAUCCUACUGUUAAUCUGAAUUUCAGACAUCAAGCAGUCUGACAGUCCAACUUCAGGCCCAAUUAUCUCCCAACUUUUCACAAGAACAUGGCUUGCACUCUCAAGCAAACUUGUUGUCCUAUAAUUGGGCUAUAAUUUUGAUGUGGUGACCUAGGGCACAAACCCCAUAAUUUGAAAGUUACAAGGGCUUCAAGUUGAGGCAAUCACACUGAAAUGCAGACUUAACCAAAAAGGGUUAAGUAUGGCUCUUUUGCACUUAAGUCCAAAUCUCAAGUUUUGGAUUGCAAAUUCACAUAUGAUUGACCCAAAUGACCUAAUAUACUUAUUUAACUUGGUUUUUGCACUUUAACCCAAAAGUGGACUAAUUUUGCACAUAGGCCCCUAGGGUUUAGUUCCAGGGUUCCAAUUAGGGUUUCUGGUAUCCCAGGGGUAUAAAUGUGACUCCACUUGGUUUUUGGGUAUAUUUUAUGACUCUUUCCCUAAAACCCUUAGGUUUUCUCAUCUUAGAUUAAGUUUUACCCCUUUAACCUCUAUUUAGGGUUAAGUUCCUUAACCAGGGUUCCAUUUGCAAAAACAUUAAAACAAUACAACUUGUUUGAAAUUUUUGCCUAGUGAAUGCACUCUAGGUGUGUCAAACAUAUGCAAUGCCAAUGCUCUGAUGUCAUGCUCAAGUUUUUGUUAUAGUAACACCAGGGGUGUUACAGUAGCUUGGGCAUUUUUAUGAAUUUGUUCAUUAAUUAACAUAGGACUAUCACUACUGUCAAAUUAGAUUCCAUUUUUCACUAUUUCCCAAAUACUAGGAUGGAGAGAAAAUAAAUGACUACGCAUUUUAUGACUCCAGAAAGAAUAAUCUUCUCCAUCAAAGUGAGAGGGUUUCCAAGUGGAAUAGACAAUAAAUGUGCAUUUGAAUUGUACGAAAUGCGAGAGUAAUCAAAUGAAUAAUUUUGAUUAACCGUUUUCUUUUUCGUGGACAAGUCUUUGUCGUCGUCGUCCCUUGGUGAAGAAGAGGAGGCGUCGCGGUUGUACUAGAUGAUCUUCUUGAUGUGUCUCUUCUUCUUUCCAUCCUUCUUUUUUUGUUUGAGCCUAAGUUAGUGAGCUUGUCUCCUUUUGGCUCAUCAACAUAGAAAGUCUCCUUCUCCUUAUCGUUGAUCACCAUCCCCUUGCCUUUAGGAUCCUUCUCUUCGGGCGGUUGGUCCUGAAUAAAGAGUACGACUCUAAUACCAAUUGAGAGCACCUAGAGGGGGAGGGGUGAAUAGGUGAUCCUAUAAAAAUCAUUUCUAAACAACACAAACUUGGUUUAUAAAUGUUAGUGAAAUAAAAACCAAGUUACUGUGAAUAGAGAGAGAGGAAGAGUACUCUUCACUUGAUUGUUCCUUUGAGAUAUGUAUUAAACUUUGGAACAAUAAUGCAAGUGAAUAUGUGAGAACUUUAUGGAAGAGAAGAAAUCACAUUAAGGAAAUGCACAAGUGACACGGUGGUUUUAUCCCGUGGUUCGACCAAUGUCUGCUCCACGUUGUGGUGACAUCCUUCGGUAAAGGAUUGCACUCAAUCCCUAUCAAGUGAUCCAAAUAUCAAACUUGAGUACCACAAUUUUCUUCCUUUUCUCAAGUAUUCCCUUUGUGAGGAAUCUCCACAAGUUGUAGUUUCUCACCCUUACAAAAUUGAUCACAAGUAAAUCGCAAGAGUAAGGGAGGGAAUAGAAACACACACAAGAACUAGAGUCACAACAACAACACGCACACAAGACAAGAAACAAGCACACAAAAUGGCGCAGCAGAGUUACAGCUCAAAGAAGUGCUCAAAUCUCUACCACAAUGAAACAAAUGCGUGCUUGCAAAGUCUAGGCAUUGUAGGAUGUUCAAUGGAUGCUUAGUGUUUUACUCCAUGCGUCUAGGGGUCCCUUUUAUAGCACCAAGGGAGCUAGGAGCUGUUGGAGCUCCAUUUGGAAGGCCCUGGUUGCCUUCUGUCCGUGGGUGCACCGGACUGUCCGGUGCACACUGGAUAGUGAACAGUACGUACGCUGGGCACGACAGUGAAUCUCCUGGCUAGUUUCCACUUCUGAGGGGCAUCGGACUGUCCGGUGCACCACUUGACCAUUGGCCCCCGGCCGACGUGGCAGGUAGCCAUUGGCGGCUGGCACACCGGACUGUCCAAUGCCUCGCGCGGACGGUCCGGUGAAUUAUAGCCGACGCAGGCUAGAAUUCCCGAGAGCGGCCAGUUGACUGGACCGUGCACCGGACUAACCUGUGCACACCGGAUUGUCUGGUGCUACGCGGUCCAGCACCUUUUCUCUCUUUCUUCCUUUGUCUUCUUUUGCUCCUUUUGAAUUUGACUUAGCUGAGUCCCUGGCACUUAAACAAACAUGAUUAGCACACAAAUCAAUUGACUAAGUGUCCAGAGCAUACAAUUUUGCUUGAUCACUACAGAUUUGCACUAAGUCCUCUUCCAAGCUCAAAUACUUUUGCUCAACAUCAUGUUAGUUUAAACAUAAAGUGUUGUGCAUCUAAUCAGCAAAACAAUAUAGAAAUGGCGCAAGGACACAUUUUCCUUUCAUCCAUCACAUCUUUUCUGAUUUUUUUGCAUAGAGCUGUUAGUAGAAAUAGCUAAUAAUAUUUUCCCCACAUCAUGGUUAUCGUACCCACGAAACAUGACGUGUUGCUCACUGUCCAUACUAUAAAGUAGUAACUCUAGACGUCCAAUACGACAAUAUGUAUACAUACUCCAUGAUAUUUUCUUUCCACCUUUUUCUAAUCUACUCGAUUGGAUUUAGUGGGAGAGAACAAGACGAAAUAACAUUUUCAUAGCAUUUUCUAAUUCAAUCUACUCGACUGGGAGAGAACAAGGAAGAGAAGAUAGAACACACCGUCUGAUGAUAUGAAGCGUUGGAGUGAUGGUGAACCUGGCACCGUCCAUCUUGUCCUAGAUGCCAUAUUAGGUAUUGUAUCCCUUUUUUUCAGAAAAAAAGCACUUGCUGUUGCUACUAUUUUUAAUGGGUAUUUUCUAUAAUGGUUUUAGUAAAAACCAAAUUAAGAAAUAAGAUAGAUGCUUGUGUUUUGAUGAUUGUCUAACCAUUUUUAUUGACAUGGAUAUUUUCUUCGAAGUUGAUGAAAAUGAUAUAUUCAAGACAUUUAUGUUCCUUCGAAAGAGUUUAAUAAAACAGUUAGAAAAAUAAUAUUAUAUAAUUAUAAAAUAAAUUUUUCGGGUUAUGCCCUUAUUGACAUGGAUAUUUUCUUCGAAGUUGAUGAAAAUGAUAUAUUCAAGACAUUUAUGUGCUUUUCGCAGGAAGCCGUUUAAAAAAAAGUGUUUGGUAGGUGCUUUUUCUAGAUAAAAGUCAGAGCCAAAGCUCUGGCAAAGAGGUCUUUAAUCAUAUUUGUGGUAGAGGUAAUAGGUGGGUACACCACUGCAAACCAUGAGAGCUAUACCGCACGACAUUACGUCCGCGUGCAUGCCUGACUUUUCUUGACCUGUUCGCCGCGGUUUAAAGCCAACUAUUUAGACGGUUAUAACUGUAACUUUUAGAGAUAAAAUACUAUAGAAAAAGUAGAAGCUGUUUUAGAAUAAGCCGCAGUGAAAUUGCUGCUUGUUUAGAUGCACGAAACAUGGAUCACACUCACUCAAUAAUGAGUAGUAGGGCUACUUCUCCCAACAACACAACAAUAAUGGAGUGGUUGCUGCUGCAUUAUUGCUCCAUGGAACAUUUGGAUCUACCACCUUGCUUUGGAUCUAUGCAAACAGGCACACAUGUUACUUGUCUUCUAAUUGAUCUAUCUAUUUCGCUUUCCUGCAUGCUUUAACUUGGAUGCUAUUAUUGUUGCAUGCAUCUGGUUGGAAUGUAUUACUAUCGGAUAGUCAAUCUUCUCCCGGAAUAAUCUACUAGGAAAAACGAGGAUAAUAAAAGCUAGUUUUGGAAUCACAUUUUUUCAAGUGAUUUUCAUUUUUUUCAGAAAAAAUAGUUUAUUUUCCAAAAAAAGAAUUCUUUGGAAAAAUAGAUCCGGCAAACUAGCCCUAAGAUGAAUUUAUGUACGUCGGGAUAAUGAUGAUGUUGAUAGAAGGGGUCGUCUUCAUCUAUGGAUCGUCUGGUGAAGAUAUUUUUGGCGCUGGAUCGAUCAAGUGGUGGCCGACAACUUGCAGCUCCUUUGUGAUUUGCAUCUUCUUUAGGUAAAAGAAAAGUGCAUCUUUUAACACCCUUAUUAUUAUAGUACAUUGAUUGAUCAUAAAAAUAAGAGGUGACAUCUCUAAAUUUUCGAGACGAGUCAUUAAGUUGUUUAUGGUGUAUUUGGUGCCAUUUCAUCCAAGUGUCAUACACAUAGGGGUGAAAAUAGAAACGGUAGUUUUUGGUUACCGGGAAUUGUUUUCAAAAUUUUAUCGAAAUUCAGGGCUAAACGGAAACUGAAAUGGUUACCGAAAAUAAGGAAACGAAAUCGGUAGAAAAAAUCAGAAACGAAAACGGAAACGGAAACGGUUUGAGCCUCUUUCUAUUGAGUCCGUAUUUUACCGUCAGUGACAAAUUUGUCAAUUUUUCAAAAAAUUUAAAUUUGAACCGAUCUUUGUAAAUUCACAAUAACUUAGAAAAAUAUGGAACUAAUUUAUUAUUUUUAUAAAAUCAAGAUCUAUCUAAUGGUAUAUAGAUGAGAGUUGUUUGAAAUUUUUAUGGAUCUUAUUUAUAGUUUCUUUCCAAUUAUUACUCUUGAUACAAUAAACUGCGACCCACUGGAAAGUCGAUCCUCUUCCACUCAUGACCUAUGAGGCCAUACACUUGAGACCAACUCAUGGCCUAUCAAGCCUAGGCCUGAGUACCCAAGCAAUCUACAGGGUUCCCAAGACAAAGAGUCGUGCGUCGAGACUCAGGCUACGAAGGCGAGGGAUCAACAUGACACAGAGAGAGUAAUGAUGAUGCCGGAGCCCCUCGCCACCCACGUGCAGCCAAACUUAAAGAGUCCGGCCAGAGAGCUCAGACGAGUAUGACAAAUAUCGAAGGAUACGUUUCUACCGAGGUAGAACACUUCGUUCUUCCACGGCGCAGUAACUCCUUCCACGAGAAGCUAACUGUAAUAGGCCCCCUCCUUGGACUAUAAAAGAGGGAGGGUUGGUCGAGACGAACAGAGGACAACGGAGGCAAAGCCAAGAAGGACACCGCCAUAACGCCCAAGGCUUAGCUAGAUAGUGAACACUAGAUUCAUAGUCCUUAGACCUUACUACACAUAAGAGACUUGAGAACUCUCCCUCUCUCGCCCGCUUGUAACCCUUACUACGAGCAUUGAGUAACAAGGUGUCGGUAGUGUGAGCCACCAAAGAUUGGAUGUAUGGACGUUCUGUCUGAACCAGUAUAAAUCUUACGACCACUGAGCACAUCAUCCAGAUCCAGAACGCGUACAAACAAAUUUACUUGUCGGAGCUAGUUUAAAACAUUGACACCCACCAUAUUUUUCCUUAAACCAAACACACACCUGUAUUGCAUCAGUGUCUGACUUAGCUAAUUAGGGAGAACAAAUCAUGCCAAUAUGAGGUAUAUGUAGUACAUAUUAGUUUAUCAUAUAAUUUACUUUCUUUUUAAAACAUAAAAUGACCAAUAUUUAUCCUAAUAAGUAUAGUAACUUAUCUAUUUUUAAUCAAUUUUGUAGCUACAAAAAAUCAACAUUUACAAAUAAAUGAAACAACCAAGAUAUACUUCAUGAUGGAUUUAACAAAACUAAUUCGUCAUUAUAGAUGCUCGUACAUUUCUUUAGACACAACCAAAGCAACAAAAGUUUGGUAUAAAAAUAUUGAAACACCAUAGGUACGUUAGACCGUGAGAGAAAUAGGUAUGCACACGCAUGCAAGUUGCCACAUGCAUGCAUGUAUCUAGCUUAAUUAUGUGAGAGGAUCAAAUAUUUUUGAGUGCGUGGAGACCUACACAAUUUUUUCAAUUAGGGCUAGUUUGGUACCCUAUUUUCCAAGGGAUUUUCAUUUUUCCAAUAAAAAUUAAUUUAUUUUCCUUUGAAAAAAUAGAAAUCCCUUAAGAAAAUAUUGUUCCCAAACUAACCCUUGCUGUUUUGAUUUGCCCGGACCCAUUUCUGUAUCCCAUCAAACAAAAGGGGAUCGAGUGAAAAGACAUGUUCUGUGGAUGAGAAAACUCUGAAAUUUCAAGUCGUACGAUAUCGCGAUCAGACCAUUUGACGUGUCACGAGACAAAAUAUUUUGGCUUCAGAUCUGGUCUUUUUUUCCUAGCUCCAAUGGACGGCAAUUGCUUCUUGUGUAGGCAAUAUGAUUUAUUUUGUCAAAAGAUUGGCGGUAUCCGUCGAAUAAACUUGUAACCUUUUUUAGGCCAUGUGAGGAAGCAUUCAGUUUCUAAGAAACUGGUUUAUAGAAAUUAAGGUGGUUCCAAACAUACCAGUUUAUGACUCAAUUUAUAGAAAUUAGAUUCUUAGUUUUUAAAAACCAAAACGCUGACUUCUCCUAGCUAAAAGAUAAAAACUGGUUUGUUAAAAAUCGGGUUGCUUCCAAACAGGGUCUUAGACGAGUCCCGUGCGGAUGCAUCAUGAGUCCAUUACACAAAUUUAGUAGAAUAAACUUAUUUCUCAUAUUAUUACUAGUUGUUAACUUAUGAGGAAUGAAAUGGUGAUAUAUCAACUAAUUCCUGUGGACACCUUUUCGGGCGCCAAUCACUAUAAUGAGAAUCGGCAGCGGUGCUCUCUGCACAGGCACGGACGGUCCGCGGCCAGGGGCCGAACGGUCCGCGACCUGGCGCAGGGCUUGGGUUCCCUGCCUGACGUGUCAGACGGUCCGCGCCCUGGAGCCAGACGAUCCGAGCGUACGAAGGGGCGGUGGAGUUCACCGGCGGCGCUUGGAUCUCGCUCCUGGGAGGGACCCCGUCGGGGAGGAGAGAUCCUAGGUAUUGUCUAGGCUCGGCAGGCCGACCUAGACUCCUGUGAUCGACGUAGAGCCGAAGAGAAGCGGAGAAUUUGGGGUAGGGAAAGACUAACCUAGAGCUAAACUAGAACUACUCCUAAUGCAUAAGUAAAACGAGAAAUAGACUUGAUUUGAUCGAUUGUUGGGGGUUCAAUCGGCCGUAGCCCUUCAUCUAUAUAAAAGGGGAGGUCUGGAUCCGCUUCAAAUUGUUUCCCGAGUUAAUCCCGUGGUUUUAGGUAACAAAUCCUGCAAGAAACUAGGAACCCUAACUGACUCUGCGCACGCGCGAACCGUCCACGCCACCACCGCGGAUCGUCCGGCCUCAGGGCCGGACCGUCCGCGAGGCUCUUUUUGGUGUUCAACAUAUGCCCCCCUACCUUUUGGUGAAGGUUGAUGAACCAAAAGCAUAUGAACUAAACUUGAUGUAAGUCACCGGCUUUUCAAUAUGGAGAUCAUUCAAUAAAGCACCAAUGUAUAAAGGUCAUUUCGGAUUGUAUCUUCCUCGGCCAUGACCAUUUGUUCAAUGGAUCAAAAGGAAUAUAAUGGAGGUGCCCCCGAGUCUAGAUAGACAAAGGGACUAUACAUGUGCCAUGCAUUCAUCGUCGUACCAUUCCAUAUUUGAACUGGAUAAUAUACCGACGAUGAAUAAACGGGUGGAAAGUAUCUUGGUCUCAUGUUGCGUCGCCUUUUGGAACGUUUUGUUCGACCGUUUCGUUUCAGCAGGUGAUCGGGGUUUCUUCGUUGACCGAUCACGUGGAACAGUCUUCUUGCUAGCAUUUUUGGCUAGAAAUUGAUCGAAAGUAGGGCCGGCUUUUACUAGCCGACCAUGUGGGUCAUGUUAGCUUUUCCCUCGCGUCUCUUUCCUUGCUUUGUGUGGACGCUGACGCCUCUGGCCAUGGGCGGACCGUCUGGCUGAGCCAGCCGGACUGUCUUUAUGAGCACCGGACCGUCCGCGAUACUCAGGUCAGGUUGUCAUGCCCGACUCCUUAAUUGUAGCUGCCCCCGGUGCCUCCGGAUUUGUUAGUCUUAUUGUCCAGAGCUUUUCAAGCAACCUCCUUCUGCGAUAUAUUUGAUGUGCGAGGAUCACCAAUGAUGAUGUCUUUGCUUUUGCUUUUAUCGGCCAUUUCGGGCUAAACUAAGACCAUUUCGCAUGCGACAUCUAUUGUAUUAACAGGAAAUGGUUGUGUGUCCACUUGCAUCUCCUGAAAAGACAACCAGACCUCAUUUAUGGCCGAUUGUACCUGUCGACGAAAAACAUUACAAUCAUUGGUGGCAUGAGAAAAAGAAUUAUGCCACUUAUAAUAAGCACGUCUCUUUAAUUCAUCUAUAGGAGGGAUAGUAUGAGUUAAUUUAAUGUUGCCAUUUUAAGUAGCUCAUCAAAUAUCUUAUCGCAUUUGGCAACAUUAAAGGUAAAUUUAAUCUCUUCUUGUCGAUUCUUUUGAACCGGCUGUAAGGAAGAAUAUGCCUAAGAUUUGGCCUUUGUUGGCCAAAUAAACUCAACGGUAUAUACAUCUGCGGAUUCAUCAUCUGAACUAUCACACUCUAUUAGAUGUAUUGUACGGGCGGCUGAUUUUGGUCUCAUUAAAUCGACUUUUACAGGCUAAAGCCCGCUGUUGUAGCUGGGCUAUCGAAAAGAACUGGGUCCCAUCUAAGUUGUCUCUUAAGUAAGAUAGCAACCCAUUAAAAGCUAGCCCUGCUAGCUCUUUGUCUGCGACAUGAAUUCGAAAGCAUCGGUUUCUAGUGUCCCGAAACGUCCGGAUAUAAUCAUUAACCGAUUCUUCGUGUCCUUGUCGAACUAAAGCUAAGUCAGCUAGCCCUAAUUCAUAUUCUCCGGCAAAGAAAUGUUCAUGAAAUUUACUUUCUAACUCAUUCCAGGAAUUAAUGGAAUUAGGAGGCAGGGCGGCAUACCAUGCAAAAGAGGUACCGGUAAAGGAUAAAGAAAAUAACCGAACGCGAAACGCUUCGCCAUCGGCCAAUUCGCCUAGAUGUGCUAGGAACUGGCCUAUGUGUUCGUGUGUGCAUCUCCCAUUCUCACCAGAAAACUUAGAAAAUUCUGGUAUCCUUGCCCCUUGUGGAUAUGGGACAGUGUCAAACCGGUGAUUAUACGACUUUUGGUAUAUGAUUGCCCCACUUUGGCUACACUAACUCCGAACUUAUCUCGAAAUAGUUCGGCCAUCUCUUCCCUAAUUUUUUCCAUUGCACCUGGUGGCAGACUACCGGAUCCUGGGCUGUGGGGCUCAUUUAGUCGGGCAUUAGUAUACCGACCUUCUUGUCGUGACCGAUCGAUAGUGUUGAUCGAUCUGUGAUUGUAUGGUGCGUUAUGAUUUAAAUAUGUAGGGGCGAAACAUACUGCUGUUGUGGUGUGUAAUAAUUGGGUGUAUAGUGCGCAACAGCAGGUUCUACGUUUGCGUACCCGGUUUGUCCAAUGGUAAAUCCGAACUGACUGGUUGUGUUCGCCAUUAUCGGGACGCCACGUGGUAGUCCUGGUGCAGCCUCGAACUGUCCGACAGGGAAAGCCGGACGGUCCGCGUAAAGGCCGAACAGUCCGAAUAGAAGCUCGGACGGUCCGACUGCGUCCAGGGUCACCGAUCUGCUGAGCAGGGACGACUAUGGUCCUAGGACGGUCCAUGCAGAAGCUCAGACGAUCCGAUCGUGUUCAGGGGCGUUGAUCUACCAAGAAGGGACGACGGUGGUUGUAUUUGCCCUGAAUAUGAGUUCAUCGGCAUAUCAUAUAAAGGCUGGGGCUACGAAUCCCCAUUUGUUGCCGAUGCAGCAGACAUAGAUACCUUAUGAUGGAAAACUAGGAGCAACAGACUUUUCCAACGUACGCGUUAAUUUUCUAAUUGACUCUUCUAACCCUCUAAUCUGUUGUUUCAUUUGAUUUUGCUGAUGAUCUACAUACUGUUUAAUAGAUUGGAUGUCAUCGGGUUUACUUACGUUGGGGACUUGAAGCGAAGAUAGAAGAGAUGCGACGUCGAUCUCUCCAUGUUUGACAACUUUCUAGUGGCGAUCCACCGGGUAUUGUGAUAAGAAUUUCUCCUUCGUUUGACGCAUGUAGUUCUCGUAUUGCUGUUGCUCAUCGGCCGUCAGACUUUCAACAAUCGGCUUUAGGAUAUUGUCCGGGGAGAUAUCGGUGUGAUCUUUAGAACCGGUCAUUUGAGGGCCUGAUUUUUAGUAGAUCUAAACACCUGUCCCUAGCGAAGUCGCCAAAAAGUGUGUUGACACCUUUUCGGGCGCCAAUCACUAUAAUGAGAACCGGCGGCGGUGCUCUCUACACAGGCGCGGACGGUCCCCGACCAGGGGCCGGACGGUCCGCGACCUGGCGCAGGGCUUGGGUUCCCUGCCUGACGUGUCGGACGGUCCGCGCCCUAGGGCCGGACGGUCCGCGCGUACGCAGGGGCGGCGGAGUUCACCGGCAGUGCCUGGAUCUCGCUCCUGGGAGGGACCCCGUCGGGGAGGAGAGAUCCUAGGUGUUGUCUAGGCUCAGGAGGCCGUCUAGACUCCUCUGAUCGACGUAGAGCCGAAGAGAAGCGAAGAAUUUGGGGUAGGGAAAUACUAACCUAGAGCUAAACUAGAACUACUCCUAAUGCAUAAGUAAAACGAGAAAUAGAAUUAAUUUGAUCGAUUGUUGGGGGUUUAAUCGGCCGUAGCCCUUCAUCUAUAUAAAGGGUGUCUAGAUCCGCUUCAAACUGUUUCCCGAGUUAAUCCCGCGGUUUUAGGUAACAAAUCCCGCGAGAAACUAGGAACCCUAACUGACUCUGCGCACACGCGGACCGUCCGCACCACCACCGCGGACUGUCCGGACCGCGGACCGUCCGGCCUCAGGACCGGACCGUCCAUGAUGCUCUUUUUGGUGUUCAACAAUUCCGUUCCAAGAACCAAAUAAAAAAGGUAAAAAUGAUAGACUAUCUCGUUCCUUAAAUCAAACACCCACUUCAUGUCUCUCUUUUCAACCACACACCCAUAUCUUUAGAAAGCAGUGCAGAAGAGUUUCGUCAUGAUUGACCAUUGAUAGUCAUCCUACAGGGCACCCUAUCUCAGAACCAAAACAUCUCUUGCUUGCUCUACCUUCCGAUGUUCUCAUAUCUAAAAGUAGUGGCAUGAGAGAUUUAAAUCGUACUGUUAUUUGAAACUCGAAGCUUGACUUUCAUACGCAGCAGGCUUGGAUCACGUAGGAAGCGAGGUAUAAACUUCUCUGCAGCUAGAAUCGCCAAAUUAAAGUAUAUACUACUCACUCCGUAGACAUGUACUCACUACCGGAAUCGCGUUUUUUACCGAGUGUUAAAUUUAAAAACUUCACACGAAUUUUUCAAUAAUGAUAAAAUGAUUUUAAAUUAAAAAACUGUCAACUACAAUGUUUCAUUACAUUUCAAGACCUACAACUUUUAUUUUGGUGGUUUUUCUAUCCGACAUAGUUUGAAAAAUUCAAAUUUCAAAAUUCAAACAUAGUUUUUAAAUUCAGACGUAGUUUUCGUUGACAAUAUGACUUCAAAUGAAAAAGUUGUCAACUAUAAACUUCUAUAAUUUCUCAAGACCUACAAAGUUUAUUUUGGUUGUUUGGUCAUUUAUUUAUCUCAUAUGAUGGUUCUAACAAUAUGCACAAAUUAUAUACGUCUCUCUCGUAGUUCCAUAAACUACGAGAGAGAUAUAGAUUUUAUGAACAAAUAUAUUUUUAUUUUGUCAUAUGAAGAAAUGUUCAAUAUAUAAAUUGUACAUCAUGAUGAGUUAUACAAAUUUGUAGUUGAAAACUUUUUCAUUUGAAUUAAUUUACUACUUUAAAAUAUGAUUUUUAAAUUGUUUUUGCCUAGUGUUGGAGAAAAAACACUCGGCAAAGGGUUUUUUGCCGAGUGUUGCCGAGUGUCGAAAAAAGGCACUCGGCAAAGAAACUCUUUGCCGAGCGUCAAAAAUAAAACACUCGGCAAAGAGCUUCUUCGCCGAGUGUUUUCUUUUACCAAGGGUUUUUUGCGUGGUACUCGGCAAAAUAGCUUCUUUGUCGAGUGCCCGAAAAAAAAACACUUGGCAAAGAAUAUGGCACUCGGUAAAGAGCCAAAUUCCGAUAGUAACUCGAUCUAUAUUAAUAAUGAUGAUGAAUCUCGAUAUAUAUAUAUAUAUAUAUAUAUAUAUAUAUAUAUAUAUAUAUAUAUAUAUAUAUAUAUAUAACAAGUACAUUAAUUAUUAUAUAAAUAUUCAUUGAAAAUGAAUUUUGAUUUGGGACCCAGAGAGUAAUAUACCGUAUACACAGAGUUUUAAGUUUCUGCCGACAAGAGUUAAUAAGCCAUGACAAUGACAGGAUGCUGCACGAUCCAACCGGCAACACAAGAGGUCGUUGGGACGCACCGUCCAAAUGAUGUGGCGCCACCUUAAUGGCCCCAGGGCUCCUCCAGGCUCCAGUGGUGUGUGGAUAAGAAUGUAAAGAAGCUUCCAAUUGGUAACACCUUAUUCAUCUCUAGCUUUCAUAACCCCACUCCGCUAAAACUUUUAGUUAGCGACAUCGCACGAAGGAGAACACUAACUUAAUUUUGAAGAUACGGUAGUAAAUGUUUUUACGAGACUUAGUAUAGACACAUUUGUACAAUACUCAUGAACAUGCUAUACUGGGAGCCUGAUGGCACACAAAGUAUAUGUAUAUUUUUUUUUAAAAAAAACUACACAUACAUGACAACAUCUACUCAUAUAAUAUCGUUUUCAAAUAUCCAGCUUCAAAACACAUAAAAGGUACUCCCUCUAUACCAAAUUAGUAGCCGUUUUAAUGAAUGUCAAUAAUGAAUCUAGAUACAUAUACCAAACAUAUAGAUCAAUUAUUAAAUAAAUUUGUUAAAAGACUAAAACGACCUCUAUUUUUGAAUAUAGGGAGUAAUUAAUAGGCAACAGAGUUUAAAAAUGGUUCACAUAAAACAACAUGCUUAAACGCUAUAUAUGUUUUUUUUUGGCAGCUAGUAGACUGGUAGAGGGAACGAUGUGAGGUAGGUAUAUACAUGCAUGCCAUACUAUAUCCAUCUCUGCUUCCGUGACUUGAGUUAAUACUAUCGUUAUCCUACUCACAUGUUUAGUCAUGCUAAUCCCACCGUCCACCGUGCAAUGGCGCGUGGAAUCGCGUAUAAAAUCCCCCCCCCCCCCCCCCCCCCCCCCAAGCUAUAGCUAGCCAGCCAUCCUACUGUCACACACACACACACACACAGACAAGUGGUUUCCAAAGCCAAGUGUGUGUACUAGCAACCAGCUAGCUCGGGCGGCAGCAGGCAGCCAUCAUGUCGGAGGAGAAGCACCACCACUUCUUCAACCACCACAAGAAGGACGAGGAGCAGCCCGCCGGCGAGUACGGGUACUCCGAGACCGAGGUGGUCACCGCCACCGGCGAGGGCGAGUACGAGAGGUACAAGAAGGAGGAGAAGGAGCACAAGCACAAGCAGCACCUCGGCGAGGCCGGCGCCAUCGCCGCCGGCGCCUUCGCACUCGUACGUUCAAAUACAUCACAUAUAUAACUUGCUCGUCGCCGUCGACGACGUACCUAGCUACCUGCCACCGAUGCUUCUUAAUUGUGCUUGUUCUUCGUGCUGACCUUCCAUGGGUGCUUUAUUUCCUCCCGUACAGUACGAGAAGCACGAGGCGAAGAAGGACCCCGAGCACGCGCACAGGCACAAGAUCACGGAGGAGGUCGCUGCCGCGGCGGCCGUCGGCGCCGGCGGCUACGUAUUCCACGAGCACCACGAGAAGAAGAAGGACCACAAGGACGCCGAGGAGGCCAGCGGCGAGAAGAAGCACCACCACCUCUUCGGCUGACCGUAGUACCGGCCGGCGCGCGACCGAGCUAGCUAGCUCCGGCGCACACAACCACACACCUGUUUAAUUCUGUACUGCAUGCGUGUGUAAUUUGAUGGUUCACAAUAAUGAGUCCCUCUCCGGACCUUGGUAGCUGCUUGCUUGUGGUGAGUGAGAGUGUGAGACUGAGGGAGAAGAGGUGGUGGGCGUGGGGCUACGUCGAGAGAGGCGUGUUCCUGUAAUCCU